rnacentral:lncRNA from 10 species
GGUUCAGUUUUAAUGAAAUCUUAAGGCAAAAAAAAAUCUUAAAUCCACAUGACUCACUUCAAAAGCAUAGGUCAAAUAUCACACUACUCAAGGAAAUAUUUUUCCUACCAUACCUUCCUUUACUCCUUAAACAUCUUGACCUUCCAUUAAAAUUGUGCUAUUAGAUGUUACCUAAACAAAUAACUUUUGUCUAGCCUCUACUUAGUCCUCUUUUCUUCUCUUACUUCUUCCCUCACUUCCUAUCCCAUCCCCAUCUCCACAAUUUUAUCUCCAUUAUUGCUUCCUUUUGUUCUUCCUUCAGGAUUUUAAGACUGCAGAGUUCUGGAGCCUGACUGCAGGGGUGAAAUCCUAAAUCCACCAUGUGGUGGGUGUGUGACCUUGAAGAAGUUACUUAAACUCUCUCCGCCCUCAGUGUCUAUAUUGACAUCUCCUUGGCUUUUCUGAGCACCUUGUUCUCCUCAAGAUACCAUAGACUCCCUACCCCAUCUCAAACAUACUGGGGUGUUUUUUACCUAUCUACCACCGAUCUUGCCACAGGUCAUAUUCAUACGUAUCUCGAGAUUAUCAAGAAACCAAUUGUUUUCCAGGAAGACUUACUCACAAAAGGUCGUUGCUGUUUCUUUGCUUUCAAAGAUCAUUUAGUUUCAGCACUCUUGAUUUGGGAUGUGUGCAGGUGCAUGAAAAAGAGAGAAGGUUACUCUUUGAAGUUCCAAAAAAGCUUUAAAGAAUGCCUGUUUCCACCUGAAGGACCAGACAACACAUAAACGAAACUCGCAAGACAUGCCAUUUUACAUACCUUUGUAACAUCCGGAUUAGACUAUGACAGUGCCUACCUCCUGGGGCAAUUCUUAAAGACCACCCAGGGUUGGUUGAAGCAGGACAAGGAAGAGCAGUUACAAGGUAGUGAGAGAUAUUGCAAGAAAGCCAAUGUCUCAGGACAAAAGGUAAUAAGCAAAAACCAGGACAUGUAAGAACAUUCUAGGAAUCUGUAGAAAUUCUCUGAAGGCAUCUUGAUUUCCUGAAGGCAUGCAAGACCCAGGAUCAAGCCCUGGAAUAUACAAAGUAAAGAAAAAGUAGAUCCUCAAAACUAAAAAAUACCUGUCAACAUAUUCAUUUAUACUUUUCUUGUGCUGUAAAUUAAAUAAAUAAAAUACAUAAUUCUGUAGUUUUUUUGUCUGAAUAUAAAAUUAAAUUGUUUAUUGCAGACAAUUUGAAAAAUGCAAAACCCAAGAAUCCCUCUUGAUCCUAAGAGUUAAAGAUAACCUUGAUCUCUAGCUCUAGUUCUGGCAUCUAUUGUUUAUUGUGUGAAUUACAUGUUCACAUCUUUCCUCUCUUGAUUCAUCUUUUGAAUGUAAAUGUGUAAGAAAUCUUUAUAUAUUAAUGAUGCUAAAUCUUUGCAUAUUAUAUAAUUAUAAAUAUUUCGUUUUUCCAUUUGUAUUAUCACUGUUUAUGCUAAGUGCUUAAAGAACAUUAUUUUAUUUAUUAUUCACAAAAAGCCUUAUGUGGUAGUUGCUAUAUUAUUAUAAUAACAAUGAUAAUAGUUGUUACUAUUAUCACAAUGACUAUUUUACAGAUAAGAAAAUUGAGCAUUUUGGGUUAAGUACCUUGUGCAAGGUCAUACCUAAUAAAUGGCAGAGUGGUUUUUUAAACCCGGAUGUGCCUAUCUCAAAAUCAGUGCUCUUGGCCAGUGGGUAUAUUAUCAUUGCAGGUGUUUUUAAUUUUCAUGUAUUUAAUCUAUCAAUCUUAUAGAUUGUUUUUUUCUUUUCACUUUUAUGCCUAGAAAGACCUUCCUCACCCCGUGAUCCAAAACAAAGUCAUGUCCAUUUUUCUCCUACUUAAAAAAAUUUCUUCUUCACAUUUACUUCUAUAUCAACUUGCAAUUUAUUUUAUAGUAUGUUAUAAGACUGUUUCUUUUUCUCACUAUGCUUUUAAUCAAUUAAUCUAGGAUCAUUUAUCUAAAAAUCCAUCUUUUCAUUGGUCUUGGAAAUAACGAUUUAUCAAUGUUAGUGACUUUACAUGUUUUGGAGUCACUUUUUAAUUAAUUGAUAAGAUACAACAGAGAAAGUCAUCCAUUCACCUAUUUUUAAAAUGCUUUGCCUAUAAUGCACCUAUUUAUUUUUCUAUAGAAACUUCAUAAAUAUUUGUAAAAUUUUAGAAAAACACUAGAGAUUUGGAAAGAAAUUUACAUUAGGUUUAUAAAUUAAUUCCAAGAACAGUAUCAUUCCCAUGACCAAAUGUUGACCUCAAUGACAUGGCAACUCAGAACUCAGUUAUUUUUCCUUGUUUAUUUUUUAUGGUUUUGGUGUGAAUCUUUAAAUUUGUUAAAAAGCUAAAUAAAUUGUAUUUUCUAUUCCACUUUGUUUAUUGCUCAAAUCAAAAUACGUAUGCAUCUAGGCAGAACUUAUUUCUCCUAAUAUAUGCCUUUUUUCACAAAAAUCACAUUGUUUUGUAUGCAUUGAAUAAUUUUAUAUUUUAAUAGAUAGUUUAACAUUUUUUCAAGUAUGUCAAUAAGAGGUCAUAUUUUAAAAGUAACUGAAUUUUCUCUCAUAAGUGGACAUUAUAAUCACUUAUUCAUUCACUCAAGUUAUUAGAAAUGCUCUCUCAGUAAAAAGAUGGAAUCAUUUUAAUACCUAACAUUAAUUGAGUUUGAGAUGUGUGCCAGACAUUGUUCUAAGAGUUUUACUCAUCUAGUCUACUGAAUACACUGGUUAUCUAAGUACAUAUUAUUGUUACCCUAAUUUACAUAUGAGUGAUUUCUUUGCUUGCCCAUGCUCAUAUGGCUAGUAGGUGUAGGGCUACAAUUUUAAUUCAUGCACUGUGAUGUUAGAACCUGUGCUUUUAACUUCUAUGUUGUCCCUGCCAUCUGGAGCUUCACAAUCCAGUGUAAAGGACAAGAAUGCAAAGCUACAUUUCCAACUGAGUGAAAAGUACCAGCUAUGAUAGGCUUAUGAUACACACAUAAAGCAAGUGUAAAACUACCUGGGGAAGUUCAGAAUGACUUGAUGGAUGAAGUAAAUAUGAAUAGAGUUUUGAAGGAUGAGUAAAAGAUCACUAGGUACAUGAGAGAAAAAAUAAUAAUGUUUUGGGCAGAGCAAACAGUAUGUGUAAGGAUAGGAGGUAAAAAAGAGCACAGCUCAUUUGGGUAUAAACAUGAGGCAGAGCACUUGUGGGAGGGCAGCAAGAGAUGAAUCCGGAAACUUAGACAGCACAGUUUUCCAAAUAUCAUUUUGACUUCCCUUAGCAAUUUUGCUUAGAUGUGAGAAAGGUCUGAACUCACAGUCAUUUUGUCACCCCAUUGAACAUCCUGUAUAUUUAUCAUUACUUAACUACUAUAUGUUAUUUAUCUAGAAAUAAUUAUAUCUGUAAAGAGGCAGUGGCAAAGUGAUCAUUUGGAGAAAAGAUUGAGUACUAUCUCUAUGAAUCCUUCAUUGUCUUCAUUUUGAUGAUUCUGUCAUUGUCAAGAUAGUUCAAAUAACAACACUGCUCACCAAGAACAUUCACAUAUACCACAUUAUUUCAUUAUCCCAAUAGUCCCAGGGGGAAAGAAUCAUAAACAGGCAUCUCUAUUUCACCAAUGAGAAAACUGAGACUUGAAAAUGAUGACUUACCCAAAACUAGAAAGUUACCUAAAUUACACCGGAACUCAUGUUUGCCUGUAAAAUAUAUCAGCAGUCCAUGUGCCGUAUAACACUAACUCUUACGCAGAUAUCGAGGAAAAUUAGAAGCAAACAAAAUACAGCUUACAUUAGUUGGCCAUCAUAUUUACUCAGGAGUUAGUACCACAGUGAACUCAGAAGCUGUAAGCACAGUAGGGAAAACCAAUACUCUCUGAAAAGUCCUAAAAGUAUAUGUUGACUGUUGAAUUGAAGCUUCAGGAUUUUUAACUAAUAUGUCUCUUAUUUCCAGAAGUUUGGCAUUCUACAUUUCAAGCUACAUAGAUGUUAUAGAUUUGAGCUAAGUAAAACCAUACUGAACCUCUAGCUAAGUUUAUUAGCUGAUUAGGAGAUACAGAAAGAAACUUGCAUUAACAUUUUUAGCAAUUCCUCCCUAAAACUGAGCAUUUAAAUACUUUUCAAUUUUCUACUGCCUUUCAGAAAUACCUCUACCAUCUUACAUAUUGAAUCAAGGUAAAUAUUUGAAAUACUGUCUAAAAUACAU